GUGGGGGUGGGGGCAGGGGCUAACAGAGUGAAAAGAGAAGGCAAUUUAUGUAGAAGAUAUUGUUAGCUGCUAGUAUUGGAAAAAUUGUCUGCUCCUCCACUCAAUGAUAGUGGGAAUCCUGACAGCAAGAAAAGAGCACCCAUGAAGAAGGUCCACAGGGUUGAACAAUAAGUAUGGGGGGAAAAAACACUGGAAAGACUCAUCUAUUGCAUCAAAUACACAAGCAACACAGAAACACAUACAACUUCUUCAAUAACUGAAAGCCAAGUUAGUGAAGUAGGCAGAACACUAAACAACUCAAGAGCCUAAUUUUUAAAAUGUCUAACAACUUCAAAGAGUUUUCAAACAAGUAGAUAAUGAAGCAAGGAGAUCAAGUCAGGGCCUAGAUAAGAAAACCAGCAAUGUGGGUGAAACAUGAAACAUUUCAGAAACAUAAGAGAGAAUCUCAGCAAAGAAACUGAAAUGCUGGAAAAAUAAAAUAAAAUAAAACCCAGAAAUGCUGACUAUUGAUAGAGUUCAUUAAAUGAAAAACACAGCAAGGAGCACCACCAACAGUAAGGAGCACCACCAACAGUAAGGAGCACCACCAACAGAUGAUGAAGUGUAAGAAAGAAUAUCAGGGACAGAAGAUGACGUUGAGGAAACACUGGACUCAGAGAAAGAAAACCACAAGCGUGUUGGUAAGCAUCCAGGAACUCUAGGAUAUGAUCAAGCAAGAGACCAAAUCCCAGAAUCCACGAAGCAAAAGACAGAUAGGAGCUGAGCUAACAGCCAAGGGCACAGAAAACUUCCCCAUCCACCAUCCUGGAACUGCUGGCCCAAUCCAUUCAGGGUCUCUGCACUGCUACAGGAUAAAGAAGCAGAAACAGAACUGUCCUUCGCCGGACUUUAAGUAACAGGUGCAAAAUGGUAGCUGCUUCCUUCUUCUCUGGCAGUAGACUGAGGGCAGAGAAGCCAACGGCUCUCGCUGAUACUCCUCUUUGCCACAACAUUCCUUUAGAAAUUCCUGAAGCUCUGCUUCAGGAUGCCCAUUUUGCUGGUAUUGGUUAAUGGUUUCACUAGAAUUUGGCAGCAAGAGUAAUAAAAAGGCUAAGAGUCAUGGAAAGGGCUAAGGAGUUGGGGGCUCAAAGUACAGACAGCCGAGCAGUCACACUGAGAUGUUCUUGUGGUGGAUCUGAGCAAAGGCCGAAGGCAUUUUGUGACUGUUAUCCCAAGAAAACAAGAACUCAGCAAAUGUGUCCAGGUUUUCAAAUUUCUCAGAACAUAGUUAUAUGGCCAUCCAAAUCAUGCCAGCAGAAGGGCAGGACAAGAGAAAUUUGGGGAGUGAGGCUUACAUUACUAAAAUGUG
rnacentral:lncRNA from 1 species